AUUGAACGCUGGCGGCGUGCUUAACACAUGCAAGUCGAGCGGUAACGCGGGGGCAACCCUGGCGACGAGCGGCGAACGGGUGAGUAAUGCUUCGGAAUCUUCCUCGUAGUGGGGAAUAACCUGGGGAAACUCAGGCUAAUACCGCAUACGAACUACGGUUGAAAGCAGGGGAUCGCAAGACCUUGCGCUAUGAGAUGAGC
rnacentral:rRNA from 1 species